GACGAACGCUGGCGGUAUGCUUAACACAUGCAAGUCGAACGAGAAGUCUUUUAUUGAACCUUCGGGGGAUAUAAGAGACAGACAGUGGCGAACGGGUGAGUAACGCGUGGGCAACCUACCUAUCGGAGCGGGAUAGCCUCGAGAAAUCGGGAGUAAAACCGCAUAACACGGAUAUAUCGCAUGAUGAAUCCGUCAAAACUCCGGUGCCGAUAGAUGGGCCCGCGUCUGAUUAGCUAGUUGGUAAGGUAAGGGCUUACCAAGGCAACGAUCAGUAGCCGGUCUGAGAGGGCGAACGGCCACACUGGAACUGAGACACGGUCCAGACUCCUACGGGAGGCAGCAGUGGGGAAUAUUGCGCAAUGGGGGCAAACCCUGACGCAGCAAUACCGCGUGAGUGAAAGAAAGGUUUUUCGGAUUCGUAAAAGCUUCUG
rnacentral:rRNA from 1 species